GAAUUGGUUUCAUCUACAAUUUCCUGCAACAAUUGAAAGUCAGAAAUAUAAGAUGAAUAUAAAGAAUAUUCUUGUUCAUUUAUUUCAUGGAUCCUUCUCUGUGGAUACUUAUUGGCAUAACGUCAUUUUCUGUAUUUGUAACAAAAAACCAUUUUGCUUGAUUUUCCUCUUCUUUGAACUUCCUUCUGCUGGUUUUUUGAUAGGUCUCUUGGUAAUUUGGAUACUUGUGAAACCUGGAGUAUAAGGUUUGUUGUACCUAUGGAUUCUUCUCUAAUUUGUGGAUUUCAUAUUAUAGUUCUUUGGACGAACUUUUUUUUUUUUUUUGAAGAAGAAGAACCAAGUUCUUUGACUUUCUCAAAUCCAUCAUUGAGAACAUAAAGUCUUCAUUUCUUUUUUAUGAAAAUUUGAAUGCUUUCGAACUUUAGUUUGAAUUUUAUCUCAUUGCAGAUAUCUAGACCACACUCUAUGAUUUUAGAGGUUAAUUGAGCAUAAGUAAGGCUUUUCCAAGGUAUUUUCUCAAGGUGUAUUUUGUUGAGGGAGUUGUAGACUCAUUCUGCCAUGAAGUUUGGAAAUCCGUCAAUGAACAUUUCUUUCCAAUGUCUGGCAUUACAAUCCCUAAAAUUGUAAAUUCUUAACAAAAACAUUUCUUUGUACCAUCUAAAGUUUCCCAUAAACGAACAUUUUAUAAUUUUAUAAUUAUUUUUCUCUGAUUGUCUAUAUCAAAGUCACUUCCUAGGUCGAAGUGUAUGUUGAUUGUGUAGAGAAGAGCUUCUACAACGUCUUCUCCUAUUUCUUGAGUUGUUGAAGUUCCAUCUUCAACUUUAAUCGUCCUUUUAAUUCUCGUCCUGUGUUUUUUUUAUUGAUUCCCUUUGUUCACUGGUUAGGCAAUGAUCCCACCACAUUUUGAGGCUUCCACUAAAUCCAUUGAUUAAUAGCGAAGCGACUUCUCCAUUUGUACGAUUGUUGAAUUCAUAGGAUAUGGAACAAGUUAACAUAUUAUUCAAUAUGAUAUAAAUAUGUUAUUAUGGAGUUCCGUCAAUAUUCCAAACAUAUAUCGAUUCUCCAUUCAACUCAGUAUUUAUAGCAUACCUUUGUCUUUGCUCUAUUCCUUCUCUAGCAAAUGAAGGUCGAUGAUGGAAAUUAAUUUGGUCUCUGCUAUUAACAAACCUUCCAAAAUUUAUCUUGUUGAUUUGUUUCUCUACUUCGUUGACUGAAAGAUUUUCAAAAUCUUCCAAGAAUUGAGUUGCAUCUUCUUCAUUAAGAACGUUAAUUGAACUUUCGCUCCUUAGGUUGUUUAGACGAUUAUUGAUUUCUUCAAGAAACUUUUGUUUUUGAGUUUUUAUUUUAACAUUUUCUAAGGGUUGGAAAAGAUUAUGAGAUUCUUCAAGAGUAGGAAGGUUGAAAGACUUGGCUAGCAAUUGAAGAAAGCAUUUUGUUGGAAUACUUAUUUUGAACUUGGAUGCUCUUUAGUUCUUUAUUUGUAGGAGUCUUGUCCUCUUCAGAAUCCUUCAUCAUUAUUUGAAUGUAGGAAUAAUCAAGUGCUUGUAAAGAUGCUAGAGUGAAGCAGCCUUACAACCACAGGAGCGGAUCCUAGUCGUUCCUUCAACAACGGGUCGAGCUCACUGAAGAACGCAAUUAUCUGGUGGACCGUGUCAAGUUAUUUCAAAAAAUUCACAUUAGUAGGACUGAUGAGUUUGUUUCACCGGAAGUAGAGGACGCACAUUCUCAGCCCGUCUAGAGGGUUCUCAACCACUCUUUGAGGAUGAGAUAUACGAGAUCGUUUUGAAUAGACGACAGAGCUACUCUAAAGGUCUUGGGUUGCGACCCCAAGUCCAAGUCCAGAAAGAAUUCUACUUCCAAUUCUUUCUCCUCUUAUGACCACCAGGCACAAAUAACAUAUGUUAGCGAACUAAGGGCCAACCUUGAAAAUACUAACUGACUGAUUGAAGAACAAUGACUAAGGGAGGAGGACCAGGAUGGAAGAAUGGAAGAAACUGUUCGAAAAAUGGAAGAGAACUAUGCACAUAAAAUAGAGGAGAUGAAGAAGAUGAUCGAGGAUAUGAGUCGACGAGACAGAGAGUAGUGAUCACUUGGGGUUUUGGCGUCUGCAACUAACUAAUAGAAGAUAAGUGUUGUUUUUUU